CUACGGGCGGCAGCAGUGGGGAAUAUUGCACAAUGGGCGAAAGCCUGAUGCAGCAACGCCGCGUGAGGGACGACGGCCUUCGGGUUGUAAACCUCUUUUAGCAGGGAAGAAGCGAAAGUGACGGUACCUGCAGAAAAAGCACCGGCUAACUACGUGCCAGCAGCCGCGGUAAUACGUAGGGUGCAAGCGUUGUCCGGAAUUAUUGGGCGUAAAGAGCUCGUAGGCGGUUUGUCGCGUCUGCUGUGAAAAUCCGAGGCUCAACCUCGGACCUGCAGUGGGUACGGGCAAACUAGAGUGCGGUAGGGGGGAUUGGAAUUCCUGGUGUAGCGGUGGAAUGCGCAGAUAUCAGGAGGAACACCAAUGGCGAAGGCAGAUCUCUGGGCCGUAACUGACGCUGAGGAGCGAAAGCGUGGGGAGCGAACAGGAUUAGAUACCCGCGUAGUC
rnacentral:rRNA from 1 species